rnacentral:rRNA from 1 species
CAGCCGCCACGGGAAUACGUAGGGUGCAAGCGUUAAUCGGAAUUACUGGGCGUAAAGCGUGCGCAGGCGGUUAUGUAAGACAGGUGUGAAAUCCCCGGGCUUAACCUGGGAAUGGCAUUUGUGACUGCAUAGCUAGAGUGUGUCAGAGGGGGGUAGAAUUCCACGUGUAGCAGUGAAAUGCGUAGAGAUGUGGAGGAAUACCGAUGGCGAAGGCAGCCCCCUGGGAUAACACUGACGCUCAUGCACGAAAGCGUGGGGAGCAAACAGGAUUAGAUACCCGAGUAGUCCCUGUCUCUUAUAC